rnacentral:rRNA from 1 species
GGAGGUGGCAAGCGUUGCUCGGAAUCACUGGGCGUAAAGAGCGCGCAGGCGGUCGUUCAAGUCGCGUGUGAAAGCCCCCGGCUCAACUGGGGAGGGUCACGCGAUACUGAUCGACUCGAAGGCAGGAGAGGGUAGUGGAAUUCCCGGUGUAGUGGUGAAAUGCGUAGAUAUCGGGAGGAACACCAGUGGCGAAGGCGACUACCUGGCCUGUUCUUGACGCUGAGGCGCGAAAGCUAGGAGAGCAAACGGGAUUAGAUACCCCGGUAGUCCUAGCCGUAAACGAUGGACACUAGGUGUUGGUGGUAUCAACCCCGCCAGUGCCGAAGCUAACGCAUUAAGUGUCCCGCCUGGGGAGUACGGCCGCAAGGCUG